GAUGAACGCUGGCGGCGUGCCUAAUACAUGCAAGUCGAGCGAACGGACGAGAAGCUUGCUUCUCUGAUGUUAGCGGCGGACGGGUGAGUAACACGUGGAUAACCUACCUAUAAGACUGGGAUAACUUCGGGAAACCGGAGCUAAUACCGGAUAAUAUUUUGAACCGCAUGGUUCAAAAGUGAAAGACGGUCUUGCUGUCACUUAUAGAUGGAUCCGCGCUGCAUUAGCUAGUUGGUAAGGUAACGGCUUACCAAGGCAACGAUGCAUAGCCGACCUGAGAGGGUGAUCGGCCACACUGGAACUGAGACACGGCACAGACUCCUACGGGAGGCAGCAGUAGGGAAUCUUCCGCAAUGGGCGAAAGCCUGACGGAGCAACGCCGCGUGAGUGAUGAAGGUCUUCGGAUCGUAAAACUCUGUUAUUAGGGAAGAACAUAUGUGUAAGUAACUGUGCACAUCUUGACGUUACCUAAUCAGAAAGCCACGGCUAACUACGUG
rnacentral:rRNA from 1 species